GGCUCAGGAUGAACGCUGGCGGCGUGCCUAAUACAUGCAAGUCGAACGAGUUCUGAUUAUUGAAAGGUGCUUGCAUCUUGAUUUUAAUUUUGAACGAGUGGCGGACGGGUGAGUAACACGUGGGUAACCUGCCCUUAAGUGGGGGAUAACAUUUGGAAACAGAUGCUAAUACCGCAUAAAUCCAAGAACCGCAUGGUUCUUGGCUGAAAGAUGGCGUAAGCUAUCGCUUUUGGAUGGACCCGCGGCGUAUUAGCUAGUUGGUGAGGUAACGGCUCACCAAGGCAAUGAUACGUAGCCGAACUGAGAGGUUGAUCGGCCACAUUGGGACUGAGACACGGCCCAAACUCCUACGGGAGGCAGCAGUAGGGAAUCUUCCACAAUGGACGCAAGUCUGAUGGAGCAACGCCGCGUGAGUGAAGAAGGCUUUCGGGUCGUAAAACUCUGUUGUUGGAGAAGAAUGGUCGGCAGAGUAACUGUUGUCGGCGUGACGGUAUCCAACCAGAAAGCCACGGCUAACUACGUGCCAGCAGCCGCGGUAAUACGUAGGUGGCAAGCGUUAUCCGGAUUUAUUGGGCGUAAAGCGAGCGCAGGCGGUUUUUUAAGUCUGAUGUGAAAGCCCUCGGCUUAACCGAGGAAGUGCAUCGGAAACUGGGAAACUUGAGUGCAGAAGAGGACAGUGGAACUCCAUGUGUAGCGGUGAAAUGCGUAGAUAUAUGGAAGAACACCAGUGGCGAAGGCGGCUGUCUGGUCUGUAACUGACGCUGAGGCUCGAAAGCAUGGGUAGCGAACAGGAUUAGAUACCCUGGUAGUCCAUGCCGUAAACGAUGAAUGCUAGGUGUUGGAGGGUUUCCGCCCUUCAGUGCCGCAGCUAACGCAUUAAGCAUUCCGCCUGGGGAGUACGACCGCAAGGUUGAAACUCAAAGGAAUUGACGGGGGCCCGCACAAGCGGUGGAGCAUGUGGUUUAAUUCGAAGCAACGCGAAGAACCUUACCAGGUCUUGACAUCUUUUGAUCACCUGAGAGAUCAGGUUUCCCCUUCGGGGGCAAAAUGACAGGUGGUGCAUGGUUGUCGUCAGCUCGUGUCGUGAGAUGUUGGGUUAAGUCCCGCAACGAGCGCAACCCUUAUGACUAGUUGCCAGCAUUUAGUUGGGCACUCUAGUAAGACUGCCGGUGACAAACCGGAGGAAGGUGGGGAUGACGUCAAAUCAUCAUGCCCCUUAUGACCUGGGCUACACACGUGCUACAAUGGAUGGUACAACGAGUUGCAAGACCGCGAGGUCAAGCUAAUCUCUUAAAGCCAUUCUCAGUUCGGACUGUAGGCUGCAACUCGCCUACACGAAGUCGGAAUCGCUAGUAAUCGCGGAUCAGCACGCCGCGGUGAAUACGUUCCCGGGCCUUGUACACACCGCCCGUCACACCAUGAGAGUUUGUAACACCCGAAGCCGGUGGCGUAACCCUUUUAGGGAGCGAGCCGUCUAAGGUGGGAC
rnacentral:rRNA from 1 species